AGACAAUUUUCCAUCCAAGUAACACUUUAUAAAAGUAAACCAUUAUAGGUCAAGGUAUGGCAUUAAACACAGAGCCUUGGCUCACAGUGAACAGCAAGCUAUAAAGGGCCCAAAAAAAUACUAGUAUAAAACCAUUCUAAUGGGAAACUCCGGUCUAUAUAGAAACGAGAAACACGUAUGAACUACAUAAACAGACGACAACUACUGUACAUUAGAUUCCUGACUAAGGAUAGGUGCAAACAUUUACAGCGGG
rnacentral:lncRNA from 1 species